rnacentral:rRNA from 1 species
GAACCUUACCAAGGCUUGACAUACACCGGAAACGGCCAGAGAUGGUUGCCCCCUUGUGGUCGGUGUACAGGUGGUGCAUGGUUGUCGUCAGCUCGUGUCGUGAGAUGUUGGGUUAAGUCCCGCAACGAGCGCAACCCUCGUUCUAUGUUGCCAGCGCGUUAUGGCGGGGACUCAUAGGAGACUGCCGGGGUCAACUCGGAGGAAGGUGGGGAUGACGUCAAAUCAUCAUGCCCCUUAUGUCUUGGGCUUCACGCAUGCUACAAUGGCCGGUACAAAGGGCUGCGAUACCGUAAGGUGGAGCGAAUCCCAAAAAGCCGGUCUCAGUUCGGAUUGAGGUCUGCAACUCGACCUCAUGAAGUCGGAGUCGCUAGUAAUCGCAGAUCAGCAACGCUGCGGUGAAUACGUUCCCGGGCCUUGUACACACCGCCCGUCAAGUCAUGAAAGUCGGUAACACCCGAAGCCGGUGGCCUAACCCUUGUGGAAGGAGCCGUCGAAGGUGGGAUCGGUGAUUAGGACUAAGUCGUAACAAGGUAGGCGUAGAUGA